rnacentral:SRP_RNA from 1 species
GGCCAAGUCCUCCGCAAUGAUGUCGUACCCAACCCCGCCAGGUCCGGAAGGAAGCAACGGCCGGUAUCGGAUCAUGUGACGGGGGGUAGCUUGGCCUUU